GGGCGCCGGGCCAGGGCGGGCCGCCCCCAGGGAGCCGGCAGGAUGGCCGAGGGCAAGACAGGCGGUGUCGCGGGCCUCUUCGCCAAGCAGGUGCAGAAGACGCUCAACCGGGCCCAGGAGAAGGUACUGCAGAAGUUGGGAAAAACUGUGGAAACCAAAGAUGAACGAUUUGAACAAAGUGCCAACAACUUCUUUCAUCAACAGGUAAUCUGGAGGGUGGGCAAAGGGAAGCUUGGAGGAAAAAGACAUGAGAGCCGAGUGGCAGGACAGCAGGUUCUGCAAAGUAGCAAGCAUCCCAACUAGCCUGUCCUCCCCCAGGCGAGAAGGCCACAGGGCGACCUUCUGCUUAGCUUUCCCUCGGGAACCAGAGAAAAGUACCUCUUCUGUUCCUGCGGACACCUUGGGUUUGGAAGAAUAGAAGAGUGUUCUUUUCUCUUAGUGGUUCCCUCAAGGUACAGUGACAUCACCAGGUCCUUAGCAUCAAAGCAAGUCAAACAAGUCCCUGCCACCUUAGUUUCCGGCUUAAUCUCUCCCACCCUAGGGUUUUCUCAUCUCAGUGGUGCCAUGUUUUGUUGCCUCUUUGUCCACUACCUCUACCUCACCAAAGCCUUUUUUAUUUUUAUUUUUCAAACAAAGCCUUUUAUUAUUAUUAUUAUUAUUAUUAUUAUUAUUAUUUUGCCUUUUAGGGCCGCACCCGUGGCAUAUGGAGGUUCCCAGGCGAGGGGUCGAAUGGGAGCUACAGCUGCUGGCCUACACCACAGCCACAGCAACACGGGAUCUGAGCCGUGUCUGCGACCUACACCACAGCUCAUGGCAACACCAGAUCCUUAACCCACUGAGAGAGGCCAGGGAUCGAACCCGCAACUUCAUGGUUCUUAGUCGGAUUCGUAUCCACUGCACCACGACGGAACUCCAACCAAAGCCUUUUAUUUGAAAAUAGCACUUCCAUCUUUUACCUGUCAUUCUCACCAACAAAUCUCCUGAUCUCACUGUUCCUUCUAUCUUCACUGGAUGUUAGGGGUAAUUUUAUAUAAAAGACUUACAUUAAGGGGUGGAUAGGAGUUCCUGCUAUGGCACAGUGGGUUAAUGAUCUGACUUGUCACUGCAGAGGCUCCAGUUCAAUCCCUGGCCUGGCACAGUGGGUUAAGGAUCCGGCAUUGCUGCCGCUGCAGUGUAGGUCACAGCUCUGGCUCAGAUUUGAUCCCUGGCUCAGGAACUUCCAUAUGCUUCUGGGGCAGCUGAAAAAGAGAAGAUAAGGGAAGAGAAGGGAGAAAGAAAGAGAGAAAGAAAGAAGUAGGUAAUAGGAGUUCCCUGCUGGCUCAGCGAGUUAAGGAUCUGGCAUUGUCACUGCUGCGGCAUGAGUUAUUGCUGUGGUCUGGCUUCAAUUCUGGCCUGGGAACUUCUGCAUGCCAUGGGCGCAGCCAAAAAUGAAAAGUGGGUACAGGGAGUUCCCUGGUGGCCUCCUGGUUGGGACCCUGCGCUUUCACCACACGGUUCAAUCCCUGGUCUGGGAACUGAGAUUCCCACAUCAGGUGCUGCGCACCAUGGCCAAAAAACAAAAAAAGAAAGAAGUGGAGUCACCGCAGCCAACUCUGAAAAUUCUGUAGCACGUGUAUGACUGGAAUAAGACAAAUGGAAUUCAUAUAUAGGAACAGUUUUUUAAAAAAGCAGUGGGUAGUGCUUGGUGACCUCCAGAAAGGAAGAGGUGACCGGCCAGUCAGCAGGCCUGAGGAGCCAUGUUUCCACAGCCACCAACAUGACACCCUCUCUGGACCCAGCAAGGACGUCCCAGGUGGCUGCCAUGGGCUCCAGAGCCAUGAGGAUCCACAGCAAAGGACACUUCCAGGGUGGAAUCCAAGUCAAAAUGAAAAAA
rnacentral:lncRNA from 1 species